rnacentral:lncRNA from 1 species
AUUCCUACUAGUGCAAGAUUAACAGUAAACAUCCUAUAAUAUUACUGAAAACUAUCUUUUUAAGAUUAGUCAAUGCAGUAUUCAACUUUUAGAGCUGUAUAGAUAUUAUUGGAGUUAUUGUCACUUCAAAUGUUUAUGUCCUUCAGUUGGAAUAAAAUCUGCUUUUUCCAUAGAUUUGUGGUGUAUAGCAAUGAGACAACAGUACAAAAAAAAAACAACAAAAACAUAAAAGACAUCAAAUCAAUCUUCAGAAAAUAUCUAUAUUGUAUGGGAAUAAAUGAUUUACCAAGCUCUAAAACUCAAAGACACAUCCACCUAACCCC